rnacentral:rRNA from 1 species
AUUGAACGCUGGCGGCAGGCCUAACACAUGCAAGUCGAACGGUAACAGGAAGAGGGGUGCUUCUUUGCUGACGAGGGGCGGACGGGGGAGUAAUGUCUGGGAAACUUCCUGGUUGAGGGGGGGAACUAGUGGAAACGGUAGCUAAUACCGCAUAACGGCGCAAGACCAAAGAGGAGGGCCUUCGGGCCUCUUGCCAUCGGGUGUGCCCAGAUGGGAUUGGCUAGUAGGUGGGGUAACGGCUCACCUAGGCGACGAUCCCUAGCUGGUCUGAGAGGAUGACAAGCCACCCUGGAACUGAGCCACCGUCCAGACUCCUACGGGACGCCGCAGUGGGGAAUAUUGCACAACGGGCGCAAGCAUGAUGCAGCCAUGCCGCGUGUAUGAAGAAGGCCUUCGGGUUGUAAAGUCCUUUCAGCGGGGAGGAAGCGAGUACAGCUAAUACCUUUCCUAAUUGACGUUACCCGCAGAAGAAGCACCGGCUAACUCCGUG